UUCACUCUCUCAUUUGAGUCUUACUAUUAACAAGUAGAAAACUGCAAUCAUGCCACUCUGGAAUCAAGAUUUGCUCUCAAAUGAGUCUUUAAUGACUUCGAAACAAAUUGGAUUCUUCACCAAAAAUAUAACUUUAUGGAUCCAAGUUGCAAUUAAAGCUAACCUUUGCAUUUUGGGAACUGCCCUGGGACCUUUUUUGCUCUACAAAAUCUGGAGAAAGCACAAAAAGAAAGAAGAACUUCGGGAAAAAGUUGGACAACUUCAGGAUGAAAUUGGUAAUUUUUUGACCUGUUUUUGUUUUUUUGUUUUUUGUUUUUGGAGAUGUAUUUCCUAG
rnacentral:lncRNA from 1 species